AGGUCACAAUCAACAUUCAUUGCUGUCGGUGGGUUGAACUUUAUAGACAAGCUCACUGAACAAUGAAUGCAACUGUGGCC
rnacentral:pre_miRNA from 1 species